rnacentral:rRNA from 1 species
UAGUUGGUAAGGUAACGGCUUACCAAGACGAUGAUGGGUAGGGGUCCUGAGAGGGAGAUCCCCCACACUGGUACUGAGACACGGACCAGACUCCUACGGGAGGCAGCAGUGAGGAAUAUUGGUCAAUGGUCGCAAGACUGAACCAGCCAUGCCGCGUGCAGGAAGACGGUCCUAUGGAUUGUAAACUGCUUUUAUACAGGAAGAAACCCUCCCACGUGUGGGAGCUUGACGGUACUGUAGGAAUAAGGAUCGGCUAACUCCGUGCCAGCAGCCGCGGUAAUACGGAGGAUCCAAGCGUUAUCCGGAAUCAUUGGGUUUAAAGGGUCCGUAGGCGGUCUUAUAAGUCAGUGGUGAAAGCCCAUCGCUCAACGAUGGAACUGCCAUUGAUACUGUAAGACUUGAAUGCUUAGGAAGUAACUAGAAUAUGUAGUGUAGCGGUGAAAUGCUUAGAUAUUACAUGGAAUACCAAUUGCGAAGGCAGGUUACUACUAAGUGAUUGACGCUGAUGGACGAAAGCGUGGGGAGCGAACAGGAUUAGAUACCCUGGUAGUCCACGCCGUAAACGAUGGAUACUAGCUGUUCGGAGCAAU